rnacentral:rRNA from 1 species
GCAGAGCACUCCUACGGGAGGCAGCAGUGGGAAUUUGGACAAUGGGGGAAACCCUGAUCCAGCCAUCCCGCGUGUGCGAUGAAGGCCUUCGGGUUGUAAAGCACUUUUGGCAGGAAAGAAACGUCGUGGGUUAAUACCCCGCGAAACUGACGGUACCUGCAGAAUAAGCACCGGCUAACUACGUGCCAGCAGCCGCGGUAAUACGUAGGGUGCAAGCGUUAAUCGGAAUUACUGGGCGUAAAGCGUGCGCAGGCGGUUCGGAAAGAAAGAUGUGAAAUCCCAGAGCUUAACUUUGGAACUGCAUUUUAACUACCGGGCUAGAGUGUGUCAGAGGGAGGUGGAAUUCCGCGUGUAGCAGUGAAAUGCGUAGAUAUGCGGAGGAACACCGAUGGCGAAGGCAGCCUCCUGGGAUAACACUGACGCUCAUGCACGAAAGCGUGGGGAGCAAACAGGAUUAGAUACCCUGGUAG